AUGUGGGUCACGGGGUCUACAGGCCUCUCUGGGGUCUCAGGCCAUCCCUUCGUGGUGCUGGGAGCCACCUCCGGGCAGAGGUGGAGCAGGGCUGGGAAGGAGCCCUCUGUCAGGAUGGGGCUGCCUCCCCGGGGAAGAGGCCGGUCCUCGCUGGGCCCGGGGGCACUGCCGGGCAUGGCCACCUUGCCGCUUGCUGGGCAGUGUGCCCUCGAGGGCCCGGGCCUUCUGCCCUGGCGCUCCCGGCCUCCGCACGCCGCGGAACGUGAAGGGCUGCCGCCCUCUCCUGAGGUGCUUGUCCAUGUGGCGGUCGAACUGCUCCUUCUUAGCGAAGGUGUAGUUGCAGGAGCUGCAGGCGAACGACUUCUUGAUGAUGCGCAUAACCGUGGCGCAGAGCUCGCAGGCGUACAGCGGUGUGUGCUGCAGCUCCGGCCGCUCCCGCAGCCCGUGCGCCCCGCCCAGGUGUGCCAGCAGCUCCCCGUGCUCGGGGUAGACCCGGGGGCACCGCGGACACAGGUAGACGCGCUGCGGGCUGUGCACCGCCAGGUGGCGCUGCAGCUUGAAGGGCUUGGGGAAGCGCUUCCCGCAGUGGUGGCAGUCGCGGGACGGGUCCUUGCAGGCCUCGUGCACCGGGGCGGCUUGCAGGAGGGGCUCCCCGCCGGCCCCGGGGUCGGGGACGGGCUGGGGUCGGCUUGGGAGGCCCAGGCUGCCGGCCGGAGCGGGCUUCUCGCAGGCCGCAGGGCUGCCGGCGUCAGCCAGGGCGUUGGCAGAGGCGCUGUCUGGUGCCGCCGCCCCCUCGGGGUUGCUGGGGUGCUGCGCGCUCGGGGUUUCGCCCCUCUCUCCGGGGCUCUCUUUCCCGGCUUCUCCCUCUUUCCCCGACGGGUCUCCCGGGCUCCUGGCGGCCUUGCCCACGGAGCGCUUGCCCCUGUGGGGUUUGGGCACGGGUUCCAUGAUGCUGUUCAGAAGGUGGGCAAUGGCGCUGCUGCCCUCCAGGUCUCUGGGCAGCUCCCCAAAGGACAGAGGAGGCCUCUAUGGUGCCAACCUGAGGCCACAGGGCCUGCCUCUCCCUCAGACCCUCCUGCUUUGGGCCCGCUCCCAGGCCACAGCUUGCUCCCAAUCCAAGGCAGCUCUGCUGGGUCUGGGGGCCUCUGCCCUCACGGCUGUCUCCCGGGAGGCUGCCACCUUUCAAAUCCCGGCUCCGCAGCAUCCCUGGGCCUCCGGCGACUCGAGUCUGUGGUCCCCAGGGCUCUUCAGGGUGGAAGUAAGGAGACCGUGGCCUCCUCCAGGCGCCCCCGAGGCCAGAUGCCUUCACCCCGCACCCACGUUUGCUCCCAUUUCCCGAUGCCCAGCAGGCGUUUGUGUUGGGAACUGAAGCCCGGGCGUGAUGGGAUCCGUGGCCAUGUCCGACCUGGAGGCCCGUGGCCUGUGGGGAGCAGCCUGAACCCAGGUGGGGGCUUUGGGCUUCCAAGGUUGGACUCUACUCUGUCUUCCCGGGGACUCAGGAUCUAG
rnacentral:lncRNA from 1 species